AUUGAACGCUGGCGGCAGGCCUAACACAUGCAAGUCGAACGAGUGGCGGACGGGUGAGUUAUGUCUGGGAAACUGCCUGAUGGAGGGGGAUAACUAAUGGAAACGGUUGCUAAUACCGCAUCCCAUCAGAUGUGCCCAGAUGGGAUUUGCUUGUUGGUGUGGUAACGUCUCACAACGGUGACGAUCCCUAGCUGGUCUGAGAGGAUGACCAGCCACACUGGAACUGAGACACGGUCCAGACUCCUACGUGAGGCAGCAGUGGGGAAUAUUGCACAAUGGGCAGAAGCCUGUUGCAGCCAAGCCGCGUGUAUGAAGAAGGCCUUCGGGUUGUAAAGUACUUUCAGCGGGGAGGCGUUACCCGCAGAAGAAGCACCGGCUAACUCCGUGCCAGCAGCCGCGGUAAUAC
rnacentral:rRNA from 1 species